GUUCUCACCUCUCAGUUCUCUAUUCUGAGAGAACUGGACCUGAGUAACAACAACCUGCAGGAUUCAGGAGUGAAGGUUCUGUGCACUGGACUGAAGAGUCCUCGCUGUCGACUGGAGACUCUCAGGCUGUCAGGCUGUCUGCUCUCAGAGGAAACUUGUGUCUCUCUGGCCUCAGCUCUGAGCUCCAACCCCUCCCAUCUGAGAGAGCUGGACCUGAGCUACAAUCAUCCAGGAGACUCAGGAGUGGAGCUGUUGUCUGCUGGAGUCAAGGAUCCACACUGGAGACUGGACACUCUCAGGGUGGAGCCUCGUGGAUUCCGAUACUUGACACCAGGUCUGAGAAAAUGUAAGUGUGUUUGUACUGAGAUCAGCAACAUUCAAC